AUUGAACGCUGGCGGCAUGCCUUACACAUGCAAGUCGAGCGGCAGCGCGGGGGCAACCCUGGCGGCGAGCGGCGGACGGGUGAGUAAUACGUGGGUGACCUGCCCUCAGCUCUGGGAUAAGCCUGGGAAACCGGGUCUAAUACCGGAUAUGACUCCAUGACGCAUGUUGUGGGGUGGAAAGCCUUGUGCGGCUGAGGAUGGGCCCGCGGCCUAUCAGCUGUUGGUGGGGUGAUGGCCUACCAAGGCGACGACGGGUAGCCGGCCUGAGAGGGCGACCGGCCACACUGGGACUGAGACACGGCCCAGACUCCUACGGGAGGCAGCAGUGGGGAAUCUUGCGCAAUGGGCGAAAGCCUGACGCAGCCAUGCCGCGUGAAUGAU
rnacentral:rRNA from 1 species